rnacentral:lncRNA from 1 species
CAGCAUCCUCAGCCUCGGAGGCCCACCCUUAUCAGUCUUCAUGUGACAGUAUGCAGGUAAAUGACAGAGUAGGACUUGUUCUUGGGAGAAUGGACUAUUUAGCAUCAUAGCCCUAGGGAAAUUUGGUUCCUUCCCUGAAAGGAAUGCUUCCUGUCUCUUGGGACAGACAGACACACAUACAAAAACUUUUAUAAAUCAGAGACCUAGAGGGAAUUGGGCCAAGAGGCAUUGGCCAAGUAGAAAAGCUUCUCUAGAGUGACCCAGCUCUUUUGUGGUUUUGAGGUCUUACCACUGAACCAAACCCAAGUCCUAGGUUCCCUCUGUAAAAGAAGGGGCUACACUAGAUGAUCCUACCAUGGGUCCUCUGACUGUCAGGGUCCAGUUCUUUGUUAGACAGUGC